rnacentral:rRNA from 1 species
UACGAAGGGGGCGAGCGUUGUUCGGAUUUACUGGGCGUAAAGCGCGCGCAGGCGGUCCUUUAAGUCUGAUGUGAAAGCCCACGGCUCAACCGUGGAGGGUCAUUGGAAACUGGGGGACUUGAGUACAGAAGAGAAGAGUGGAAUUCCACGUGUAGCGGUGAAAUGCGUAGAGAUGUGGAGGAACACCAGUGGCGAAGGCGACUCUUUGGUCUGUAACUGACGCUGAGGCGCGAAAGCGUGGGGAGCAAACAGG